CAGCCACUGAGAGGUGAGCGGCUUCCUCCAAUACUCACUCCCCGCCGCGAUGUAGACCUCUCCACAGGUUUGAAGGCAGCAGGACCAUGUGACCAUAACCUGAAACUGUUUUCAACAACAAAUAAGGCUGAAGAAGAUGAAGAAGCAGGCAGCCCUUUUAACAGGUGCCCUCCAGGUAACCCUGAGGGAAGAAAGAAGUCACUGUGGGUGUAAUUCCCUGGAUUCUUCACACAAGACUAAAGAGCAUCCUGGAACUGGAAGACUUUGGAUGAGCCUGGAAAUGCCCCUCCUAUAGGCUGGGACCCAUGGAAAUGAAGAUCAAACAAAUAAGAUCAUUUGUUGUUAGGCUUUACUUUCUACUUUUCUUGUUGGAGAGUUUGUCUUCUAAAAUAGUUAGGCAGACACUCUAUACAUGAUUUCCUUCAUGUUAUUAUUGACAUAAUUGUCUGUUCUUGGCUACAUUUUGCCAAACCCCAGCAAACUAACUGUUAUGAUUUCAGUGUAUAGUUCUUUCCAUGUGAACACAAGGGCAGAAAAACAAUCUCCCCAAUCCUGGAUAAGGCAGGAAUUUAAUGGACUCUUGGAUAUGUUACCCAAAACCCUUUUGACCACCCUGACUCCUCUGUUUUACCUGUGACCAACUUUUCCAUGGUUCUUAACUUAACUGUGUACUAUGAUGAAAGACCCAUUAAAGUAAUGCACCAAGUAAGGGUAACCACCCGAAACUCCACAUAUCCUCCCUUGGGUUUGAGUUCUGCAAUAUACCCUGAGGCUAUAAACUGUCCUGAGCCCAUCAAUACUGCUGUAGUCACUGAAUUAUUUAACAUAUUUCCCAAUAACAGCUCAGUUAGAUUAUCUGUAAGGGAAAGCCAACAAUAUGAGGCUCUGGCUUUCUGGGAAUACCUGGAUUGAGCCUGCCAAGGAAGUAACAGAAACCUUUCCCUUUGUAUGGACUACCUGAGACUCAAUAUCUGGAACACUCAGAGUCCACAACCUCCUAACAUAAAUCUCUAGAGGGUUGUUCAAUAACUCCAGACUCUUACCUUGGCUCCCAACAAACAGAACACUGACCAAGGGCCACCAGUUACAUAACCCUGGUUUAAGCCAAUUCUGGAGACCUUGCCCUGGGACUCAGAGCUCAGUUUAAACAAUUGAUUGGGAAUCCCAUAUGCUGACAGGAUACCUGCUUGUUUGGGGGGGGGGAUCUGAAGGAGCCCCAGUGAGCAUAUACAUAGCUGAAGGGAGCAGUUUUUCUCCACCUUGGAUUGAAAUCACGAACCAAAACAAAUCUUUCUUCUCCUCAGGUACUGAAAACUAACACAACCAGGAAGAUGGAUUCUGGUAUACAUUCAGUAGAAUCUUCUUGCCCUGGUGGAGGUAGGAGCCCAUAAACUUAUUAGGUAUUCUUUCCAGGGUGUUAAUCAUGUCUGGGCCAUCUCCACAUAGCAAAAAGGAAUAGAAUCCUUAGUAAUCUGGUUACCAGGCACUACCUUAGCUUUGAACUGUAUCUGAGAAAGGAGUUUGUACGAGCAUGGGUACUUUCUUGUUGUUCUUAUAGUAACACUCCUGAUGUUGAAACGUACCUUGAGAACACUGUGAAACAGGCAUCCUGGCUUCAACAAAUAUUCCCGGAAGCACAAGGAAUAAAUGACUGGUUCUCAGAAUUGCUUUCCUGGAUCCUGCAGGGUGUUAAGUCUGUAUUUUCUGGGCUAAUCAAAUUAGGAAUGUCCAUUUUACUGAUCUUAUUUAUGUCAGAUGUGCUUCAAAAUGCUGCAGUAAAACAAUUGCACAGGAUACUUCAGCUAUGGUUUUACUGAUUUUGUUCCUUCCUUUGACAUCAAGUGAAGUUCACUCAUCUAACUCAGGAGGAAGGUGUUCCACAAAAUGAUUUCCCUCUCCCAACUCUUCAUCAACAAGGAGUAAAAGGUAUGGGUGGGGAAGUUUUGUUAGCUGUUACACAAAGUCCAGCACCUGUGUUUGCAGGAGAGUCCAAAAAUGACAACUGCUAAUACCCUUCAGAGUGUCUCUCUCAAUAAGGCUUUCCACAAGGAAUUGGCUUAAACCAGCCAAAGUAAACUUUGUUCCUUAUAAUGCUAAAUUCUCAUCCCUGGAGGGGUUCCUGCCUGCCAUUUAAACAUGGACUCUAUGAAGAAGUAUGAUCUCUAAUUGCACAUGCACAGGAAUAUGCCCGCCUCUACAAGUCUCUCUGGUAUGAAUAGGCAUAAUCUCCACAAUAAAACUCCCUUGCUUCCUUUGUUAGGAGAGCCUCUGUUGUGGGUGUCACCCCUGAUACUCUCCUUAUCUCCUGUUUAUGCUUUUGGGCUCUGCAUUUACCAACGGGGGAACUCAUUGUGUCCAUUACAGGUCCUUAUAAAUACCAGAACCAGGAAUGACCGUUCCUGGCUUAAUAUAAUAAAGACAUUUUAAAUUUAGUAAAUUCAU